GACGAACGCUGGCGGCGUGCUUAACACAUGCAAGUCGAGCGGUAAGGCCCUUUCGGGGGUACACGAGCGGCGAACGGGUGAGUAACACGUGGGUGACCUGCCCUCAGCUCUGGGAUAAGCCUGGGAAACUGGGUCUAAUACCGGAUAUGACUCCAUGACGCAUGUCGUGGGGUGGAAAGCCUUGUGCGGCUGGGGAUGGGCCCGCGGCCUAUCAGCUUGUUGGUGGGGUGAUGGCCUACCAAGGCGACGACGGGUAGCCGGCCUGAGAGGGCGACCGGCCACACUGGGACUGAGACACGGCCCAGACUCCUACGGGAGGCAGCAGUGGGGAAUCUUGCGCAAUGGGCGAAAGCCUGACGCAGUGACGCCGCGUGAGGGAUGACGGCCUG
rnacentral:rRNA from 1 species